CCUACGGGUGGCAGCAGUGAGGAAUAUUGGUCAAUGGGCGCGAGCCUGAACCAGCCAAGUAGCGUGAAGGAUGACUGCCCUACGGGUUGUAAACUUCUUUUAUAAAGGAAUAAGGUGAGGCACGUGUGCCUUUUUGUAUUUACUUUAUGAAUAAGGAUCGGCUAACUCCGUUCCAGCAGCCGCGGUAAUACGGAGGAUCCGAGCGUUAUCCGGAUUUAUUGGGUUUAAAGGGAGCGUAGAUGGGUUGUUAAGUCAGUUGUGAAAUCUUGGGGCUCAACCGUAAAAUUGCAAUUGAUACUGGCAGCCUUGAGUACAGUUGAGGUAGGCGGAAUUCGUGGUGUAGCGGUGAAAUGCGUAGAUAUCACGAAGAACUCCGAUUGCGAAGGCAGCUUACUAAACUGCCACUGACAUUGAGGCUCGAAAGUGUGGGUAGCAAACAGGAUUAGAUACCCGAGUAGUC
rnacentral:rRNA from 1 species